GAUCCUGGCUCAGGAUGAACGCUAGCGACAGGCUUAACACAUGCAAGUCGAGGGGCAGCGGGGGUAGCGAUACCCGCCGGCGACCGGCGCACGGGUGAGUAACGCGUAUGCAACUUGCCUAUCAGAGGGGGAUAACCCGGCGAAAGUCGGACUAAUACCGCAUGAAGCAGGGCCCCGCAUGGGGGUAUUUGCUAAAGAUUCAUCGCUGAUAGAUAGGCAUGCGUUCCAUUAGGCAGUUGG
rnacentral:rRNA from 1 species